rfam:Phytophthora nicotianae strain race 0 contig1981, whole genome shotgun sequence.
UAGCUCAAUGGUCGAGCGUUGGCUUUGAAAGCCACAGGUCGGUGGUUCGAUCCCGUC